rnacentral:rRNA from 1 species
GACGAACGCUGGCGGCGUGCUUAACACAUGCAAGUCGAACGAAGUGGCGAACGGGUGAGUAACGCGUAAUCAACCGGCCCUUCAGAGGGGGACAACAGUUGGAAACGACUGCUAAUACCGCAUACUGAAGGAGGGGAUUGCGGCUGAUUAGCUAGUUGGAGGGGUAAAGGCCCACCAAGGCGAUGAUCAGUAGCCGGUCUGAGCGGAUGAACGGCCACCUGGGGAAGGAGACACGGCCCAGACGUCUACGGGAGGCAGCAGGGGGGAAUCUUCCGCAAUUGAGGAAAGGCUGACGGAGCAACGCCGCGUGAGUGAUGACGGCCUUCGGGUGGGAAAGCUCGGUUAAGCGGGAAGCGGUACCAGAAUAGAAAGCCACGGCUAACUACGUGCCAGCAGCCGCGGUAAUUC